rnacentral:rRNA from 1 species
GAUGAACGCUGGCGGCGUGCCUAAUACAUGCAAGUCGAGCGAACGGACGAGAAGCUUGCUUCUCUGAUGUUAGCGGCGGACGGGUGAGUAACACGUGGAUAACCUACCUAUAUGACUGGGAUAACUUCGGGAAACCGGAGCUAAUACCGGAUAAUAUUUUGAACCGCAUGGUUCAAAAGUGAAAGACGGUCUUGCUGUCACUUAUAGAUGGAUCCGCGCUGCAUUAGCUAGUUGGUAAGGUAACGGCUUACCAAGGCAACGAUGCAUAGCCGACCUGAGAGGGUGAUCGGCCACACUGGAACUGAGACACGGUCCAGACUCCUACGGGAGGCAGCAGUAGGGAAUCUUCCGCAAUGGGCGAAAGCCUGACGGAGCAACGCCGCGUGAGUGAUGAAGGUCUUCGGAUCGUAAAACUCUGUUAUUAGGGAAGAACAUAUGUGUAAGUAACUGUGCACAUCUUGACGGUACCUAAUUAGAAAGCCACGGCUAACUACGU